CCUACGGGAGGCAGCAGUAGGGAAUUUUCGUCGAUGGGCGCAAGCCUGAACGAGCAAUGCCGCGUGAACGAGGAAGGUCUUCGGAUCGUAAAGUUCUGUUGAAGGGGAAAAAGAGCGGAGAGAGGAAAUGAUCUCUGAUUGAUAUUACCCUUCGAGGAAGUCACGGCUAACUACGUGCCAGCAGCCGCGGUAAUACGUAGGUGGCGAGCGUUAUCCGGAUUGAUUGGGCGUAAAGGGUGCGUAGGCGGCCUGCUAAGUCUAGAGUGAAAGGUACCGGCUCAACCGGUACAGGCACUGGGAACUGGGGGGUGAGAGGGCAGGAGAGGGCGGUGGAAAUCC
rnacentral:rRNA from 1 species